CCAGACUCCUACGGGAGGCAGCAGUGGGGAAUAUUGGGCAAUGGGCGCAAGCCUGACCCAGCAAUGCCGCGUGAAGGAAGAAGGCUUUCGGGUUGUAAACUUCUUUGACAGGGGAAGAGCAGAGGACGGUACCCUGAAAACAAGCCACGGCUAACUACGUGCCAGCAGCCGCGGUAAUACGUAGGUGGCAAGCGUUGUCCGGAUUUAUUGGGUUUAAAGGGUGCGCAGGCGGAUUUUUAAGUCAGCGGUCAAAUCGUGGGGCUCAACCCCAUCCAGCCGUUGAAACUGGGGAUCUAGAGUGUGCGAGAGGUAUGCGGAAUGCGUGGUGUAGCGGUGAAAUGCAUAGAUAUCACGCAGAACCCCGAUUGCGAAGGCAGCAUACCGGUGCACAACUGACGCUCAGGCACGAAAGCGUGGGUAUCGAACAGGAUUAGAUACCCGAGUA
rnacentral:rRNA from 1 species